AGAGGAAAAGUGAAUUGUCUCAGAAUGAGAACCUGAGAACCCACUUCUGAGCCAGCUAUUUACUUCCACACAUAGGCGGCGCACAUUUCAUUUUCCAUCAUAAACACUGUUUGCAUUGAAUGGUAAUUCAUGUCUGUCUAGCUUUAAGAGUGGUUUUGUUGCAAUUCUUGGCUUCUCUAGGUUUUAUUUGACUUAAUCGCUUUCCUUGCUUCCUACCUACACAUUCCUCAGGUGUGAUGACAAGAAGGAAAUUGAAGUUCCAACAGGGAGAUUAUAAGCUCCUUGAAGAUAAAAGUAUGCAAUUGUUUAGUUGACUAUAUCCCCAGUGCCUGGAAAAGAGCUUGACACAAAGAGACAGUUUGUUGGUAAGAUAAUUUCAAUGCAAUGAGAAUCUGUUGCGUGGAUCAUGAACCAGAAUCCUGGGGAAUGGUUUCUUCAUGGAGCUGCAGUCAUUUAGGAAAGGAAGAAAGAAACAGAGAUGAGACACCAAAUGUUGUUUUAAUAAUUUUUCUUUCAAAACAUAAUGUUCAUGAGAGAAAUUUUAUAAGAAUACAAAUAA